rnacentral:rRNA from 1 species
UAAUACGGAGGGUGCAAGCGUUAUCCGGAUUCACUGGGUUUAAAGGGUGCGUAGGCGGGCAGGUAAGUCAGUGGUGAAAUCUCCGGGCUUAACCCGGAAACUGCCGUUGAUACUAUCUGUCUUGAAUAUCGUGGAGGUAAGCGGAAUAUGUCAUGUAGCGGUGAAAUGCUUAGAUAUGACAUAGAACACCCAUUGCGAAGGCAGCUUACUACACGAUCAUUGACGCUGAGGCACGAAAGCGUGGGGAGCAAACAGGAUUAGAUACCCUGGUAGUCCACGCCCUAAACGAUGGAUACUCGACAUCAGCGAUACACUGUUGGUGUCUGAGCGAAAGCAUUAAGUAUCCCACCUGGGAAGUACGACCGCAAGGUUG